rnacentral:rRNA from 1 species
GGAGGUGCUGGGGUUGUCGCUGACUUUUGAAAGGGUCGUGCACGCCUCGGUGCUCUCACACAUAAUCCAUCUCACCCCUUUUGUGCACCACCGCGUGGGGACCCCUUUUGGCUAGUCCUGAGGGGGGUUUUCACGUUUUUAUACAGACACCCCUUUUAAUGCAAUGUGUAGAAUGUCUUACUUUUUGCGAUCAUACGCAAUCAAUACAACUUUCAACAACGGAUCUCUUGGCUCUCGCAUCGAUGAAGAACGCAGCGAAAUGCGAUACGUAAUGUGAAUUGCAGAAUUCAGUGAAUCAUCGAAUCUUUGAACGCACCUUGCGCCCUUUGGCAUUCCGAGGGGCACACCCGUUUGAGUGUCGUGACAUUCUCAAAACCUUCUCGGUUUUCUUGACUGGGAAGGCUUUGGACUUUGGAGGCUUUUGCUGRCUUUCCUUUGUUGGAGCCAGCUCCUCUGAAAUGGAUUAGUAGGGUCUGCUUUGCCGAUCCUUGACGUGAUAAGAUGCUUUCUACGUCUCGGGUUCUGCACUCCUGCUUCUAACCGUCUCACAGAAGACAAACGGUCAAAGUGAUUGCCACUUUGACCCACGAACCUGACCUCA